UGACUCCUUGAGAGUCCUGAAGGAACGUUGAAGACGACGACGUUGAUAGGCCGGAUGUGUAAGCGCAGCGAUGCGUUGAGCUAACCGGUACUAAUGAACCGUGAGGCUUAACCUUACAACGCCGAAGCUGUU
rnacentral:rRNA from 1 species